rnacentral:rRNA from 1 species
UAUUGCGCAAUGGGCGAAAGCCUGACGCAGCGACGCCGCGUGGGGGAUGAAGGUCUUCGGAUUGUAAACCCCUUUCGGGAGGGAAGAUGGAAUGGGGUAACCCAUUCGGACGGUACCUCCAGAAGCAGCCACGGCUAACUUCGUGCCAGCAGCAGCGGUAAUACGAAGGUGGCAAGCGUUAUUCGGAUUUACUGGGCGUACAGGAGCGUAGGCGGUUUGGUAAGCCCUCUGUAAAUCUCCAGGCUAACCUGAAAAGUCGGAGGGACUGCUGGGCAAGACGGAAGAGCGCGAAUUCCCGGUGAGCGGUAAAUGCGAGGUCGGAGAAGGCCGGUGGCAAGGCGCGCUCUGGACGUUCUGCGUGGGUAAAUCGU